AACUAAGUUUGUUAUUGGUAUGAGCUUUUGUGUGCAUGAACACUUCUUCAGUGCGUAUCUGAAGAAGUGUGCAUGCACACGAAAGCUCAUACCAAUAACAGACUUAUUUGG